CCUACGGGAGGCAGCAGUGGGGAAUCUUGCGCAAUGGGCGAAAGCCUGACGCAGCAACGCCGCGUGCGGGAUGAAGGCCUUCGGGCUGUAAACCGCUUUCAGCAGGAACGAAAAUGACGGUACCUGCAGAAGAAGGAGCGGCCAACUACGUGCCAGCAGCCGCGGUGACACGUAGGCUCCAAGCGUUGUCCGGAUUUAUUGGGCGUAAAGAGCUCGUAGGCGGUCUAGUAAGUCGGGUGUGAAAACUCUGGGCUCAACCCAGAGACGCCAUCCGAUACUGCUAUGACUUGAGUUCAGGAGGGGAGCGGGGAAUUCCUAGUGUAGCGGUGAAAUGCGCAGAUAUUAGGAGGAACACCGGUGGCGAAGGCGCCGCUCUGGACUGAAACUGACGCUGAGGAGCGAAAGCAUGGGUAGCAAACAGGAUUAGAUACCCUGGUAGUCCAUGCCGUAAACGGUGGGCACUAGGUGUGGGUUUCAACUAACGAAAUCCGCGCCGUCGCUAACGCAUUAAGUGCCCCGCCUGGGGAGUACGGUCGCAAGACUAAAACUCAAAGNAGUGCGNGNGAGNGCGACGACGACGACGAGGAGGAG
rnacentral:rRNA from 1 species